AGCUGACAGGAUGGCUAAACCACCGCUCCUACCUUUGCAGGCAUGGCCGUGGAAUAUUGCCGUGAUUUCUUCGAGCAACGUACACGAGCAGUUUACACCCUUGCUGAAUCAUCUGGGAAGCAAGGCAUCUGACAGCUCAUUGGAUGAUCUUCGAUGGACGACGGUGACGUCAGCGACCACAAGCCUACUAAAGAACCGACACGACGAUGGGCACAGCAGAGGGCACGGCACUUGUCAAGCUGACAGGAUGGCUAAACCACCGCUCCUACCUUUGCAGGCAUGGCCGUGGAUUAUUGCCGUGAUUUCUUCGAGCAACGUACACGAGCAGUUUACACCCUUGCUGAAUCAUCUGGGAAACAAGGCAUCUGACAGCUCAUUGGAUGAUCUUCGAUGGACGACGGUGACGUCAGCAACCACAAGCCUACUAAAGAACCGACACGACGAUGGGCACAGCAGAGGGCACGGCACUUGUCAAGCUGACAGGAUGGCUAAACCACGGCUCCUACCUUUGCAGAACAGAUACCCCGGGCCUGGGAGAUCACCAUCAUGCCAGGUCGCAGGCCGUACCGUCAAGUCAUCGACUGUGUGCCGAGAUGCCCACUAGCCGAUCCAGCAAUAUUUUGCAAAAGCCUCUCUUUCCGCGCUACCAAGGGUGACGUCAUGCAGAGCACCUAUCCCAAAAGUGGAUCCCAUUGGGUUGAGUACGUAACGCAAUUAAUCCUCAACGGAGGAAAACCCAUCAGCUCCUACAGCGAGUUCACCCGCAACUACCGGGCAAUCGGGUAUGUGGAUACUGAUGGCUGGGAGUCGCCCCUACCCGUGAGACUGUUCAUGACGCACCAUCCACUCAGCCGAGAGACUAUGAACAAAGAGGCCAAGUACAUCUACGUCACUCGAACCCCAUGGGACGUCUGCGUCUCGCUUUUUCGCAUGAUCACAGACCUCAGCAGCUACAAGUUCGAGGACGGCACAUUCGAAGAGUUCUUCGAACCCUUCAUCUAGGGAGACUUGGGCUACGGGAGCUACUUUGACCACGUGGCGUCAGCGUACGCGAUGAGGGACAAACCAAACUUGUUCUUCGUGACUUACGAACAGAAGAAGAAGGAUAUUAGGGGCACAGUUUUGAGAUUGGCUCGCUUUCUCGGCGACAAAUACGAGAGGGCUCUGCUGGAAAACUCACAAAUGCUAGAAAAUAUCGUUGAGUGGUCCAUACCAGAACACAUGAGGAAAAUCAUCGUGUUUAAUCUCACAGAAAAUGAGACACUGGAAUGGAACGAUUUCUUUGGUAAGAUCAAUGCGACGAGCAAGGAAGGUUACGGUGGAGACAAAAGAAAGUACGUAUUGGUAAAAGAAGCCAAAGUCUGGAAAGAAUACUUCAAGCCUGACUUGCUUGCCCGUUUGGAGAAGAAAAUACAGCAAGAAGAGGACAACGCAUGUUUUAUUGAGUUGUGGGAAGACAUUCGAAAGGAAGCGAUCGCAUUAUGCCGUGGGUCUUCGGAGUACCAGCGCUGUUUCGUACCUUAGUCACAAAUUCGAAUCUUCUCUUUCAAACGCGGAGAGCACGAAAUGGACGGUGGUAGGUGUGUAAAGGUCUUUAUUCUACUCCGAUUCUUGUCCCGGAAGCGUCCACUUGGCCGGCCGGAUCGGCGCUAGGCAAACAAGCUUCGCGUCCGUCUCACCGCCGCAACACUCCACACAGACCAAGCGCAGGGUCGGUAAGAGUGGAGAUUGAGCUCUAGAACAGCUGAUCCCCCAACACAACGGGAGCAAGAUCGGUAAAGAAGAUGUCCUCCGGGUCUAAGUUGGUAUCGCAUCUCCUGCAUCAGGGAAUCCAGGCCAACGACAAUAACAGCGUUUCUAUGAAGGGUGUUCUUGUAAAAUAAGAGCGACCACUUCACGGUGCCGCCGUUUUCAUCUGCUCCUGUAGUUCACUUUCUUAACGAAGCCAUACCAAAACAAAAAUUUAAGCACUACAUAUUAUUUGCAUGGUGCCUCAACGAUAGCAGUGUCAGCUUUCUCUGCAGUAAUUUUAGUAAUAAACUCGAUGUCUUGGUGUCU